CUCUUCUGGACACGUCCCCCCACGGGCCCCCCGCCGUGGCGCCGGGCUGCGCCUCCGCUCCCCCACACAGCGGCUGCUCCUGGGGGAGGGGGCGCUGGGGACCCCGAGCCCGGCACAGCCCGGCCCUGGGCGAGGCCGCCAGCGAGUCCCUGCCUGCGCCGGCCCGGCUGGUUUGGCGAGCUGUGCCGCGCCGGCUGCGCCGCGCUGCGGGGGGGCACCGGCACCGGCAUUGAGACCAGCACGGGAGCCGGACCAGGUCUGGGUUAAACCGAUUAAAACCACCUGUCCCUGCCGCCCCCCCGCCCAGGGCAGCCCCCCCAGACCGACGGGGGCGGGACGAGCUCCGGGUGACACGGGUUCACCCCCGGGACGUCGCUGGUGGGGGGGACACAGACCAGGACACCCCAGACAGAAUAAAUAAAUAAACCCGGGCGGGGGGGGACACACACA